UUGACCUCGGAUCAGGUAGGAAUACCCGCUGAACUUAAACAUAUAAUA
rnacentral:rRNA from 1 species